AAUGUUAAAGUUCUUAUUUCAUGGUAUAACUUUGGUAUGCUUGGACCUAGAGUCUUCAAACUUGACAUGAAGGUUGGCCAGGAUUAACAGAUGACCACUGGUCAUUUCAAGGUCAUUCAUUUGAAGGUCAAGGUCACUGUGACCUUCAAUAUAAAAAUUUUAAAGUUGUUAUAACUUUGGUAUGCUUGGACCUAGAGUCUUGAAACUUGACAUGAAGGUUGGCCAGAACUAGUAAGUAACCACUGGACAUUUCAAGGUCAUUCAUUUGAAGGUCAAGGUCACUGUGACCUUGAAUGUAAAAAUGUUAAAGUUGUUAUAACUUUGGUAUGCUUGGACCUAGAGUCUUGAAACUUGACAUGAAGGUUGGCCAGAACUAGUAAGUAACCACUGGACAUUUCAAGGUCAUUCAUUUGAAGGUCAAGGUCACUGUGACCUUGAAUGUAAAAAUGUUAAAGUUCUUAUUUCAUGUUAUAACUUUGGUAUGCUUGUACCUAGAGUCUUCAAACUUGAAAUAAAGAUUGGCCAGUACUAGAAGAUGACCACUGGUCAUUUCAAUGUCAUUCAUUUGAAGGUCAAGGUCACUGUGACCUUAAAUGUUAAAAUGUUAAAAUUGUUAUAACUUUGGUAUGCUUGGACAUAGAGUCUUCAAACUUGACAUGAAGGUUUGCAAGCACACUUAUUUGUGACCUUAAAUGUUAUUGUUGUUCAUGUAUAUGCAUGCAUUCAAAACAUAACACAAGGUUUGCUCAUGCCUUGAAAAGUACUUACAUUUCAUUUUGACCUUUGAACAAUAUUUCAGUAAUUUAAGUAUUGCAUUGACAAAAACACGAAAGGUACUUUCCUGUCAUUUAAAUAAAAAAUCCGGCUUCAAUGCGGUCAUCUCCGACCGCGGAACUCUUGUUAAUAUUGAAGAUAGCAACUUGAUAUUUGGAAUGCAUGUGUAUCUCAUGAAGCUGCACAUUUUGAGUGGUGGAAGUUCAAGGUCAAGGUCAUCCUUCAAGGUCAAAAACAUUAAAAAAUUCAAAGCGGCGUUCUCAUGAAGCUGCACAUUUUGAGUGGUGGAAGUUCAAGGUCAAGGUCAUUCUUCAAGGUCAAUGUCAUCCUUCAAGGUCAAAGGUAAAAAAAAAUAAUUUCAAAGUGGCGUUAUCAUGAAAAUGCACAUUUUGAGUGGCGGAAGUUCAAGGUCAAGGUCAUCUGUCAAGGUCAUCCUUCAAGAUCAAAGGUCAAAAAAAUAAUAUAAAAAUUCAAAGCGGCGUUAUCAUGAAGCUUCACAUUUUGAGUGGUGGAAGGUCAAGGUCAUCCUUCAAGGUAAAAUUAUUUUUUUUUAAUUCUAAGUGGCGUUCUCAUGAAGCUGCACAUUUUGAGUGGUGGAAGUUCAGGGUCAAGGUCAUUCUUCAAGGUCAAAGGUAAAAAAAUAAUAAAAACAUUCAAAGCGGCUUCUCAUGAAGCUGCACAUUUUGAAUGGUUGAAGUUCAAUGUCAAGGUCAUUCUUCAAGGUCAAGGUCAAAGGUAUUUUUUUUUAUUUAAAAUGGCGUUAUCAUGAAGCUGCACAUUUUGAGUGAUGGAAGGUCAAGAUCAUCCUUCAAGGUCAAGGUCAUGCUUUAAGGUCAAAGGUAAAAAAAAAUGAUUUCGAAGCUGCUUUUUCAUAAAGCUGCACAUUUUGAGUGGUGGAAGUUCAAGGUCAAGGUCAUCCUUCAAGGUCAAAGGUAAAAAAAAAAAAUUCAAAGCGGCGCAAUAGAGGGCAUUGUGUUUCUGAGAAACAAAUCUC